AUUGAACGCUGGCGGCAUGCCUUACACAUGCAAGUCGAACGGCAGCACGGGUGCUUGCACCUGGUGGCGAGUGGCGAACGGGUGAGUAAUACAUCGGAACAUGUCCUUUAGUGGGGGAUAGCCCGGCGAAAGCCGGAUUAAUACCGCAUACGAUCUACCGAUGAAAGCGGGGGACCUUCGGGCCUCGCGCUAUAGGGUUGGCCGAUGGCUGAUUAGCUAGUUGGUGGGGUAAAGGCCUACCAAGGCGACGAUCAGUAGCUGGUCUGAGAGGACGACCAGCCACAUGGGGACUGAGACACGGCCAAGACUCCUACGGGAGGCAGCAGUGGGGAAUUUUGGACAGUGGGCGAAAGCAUGAUACAGCAAUGCCGCGUGUGUGAAGAAGGCCUUCGGGUUGUAAAGCACUUUUGUCCGGAAAGAAAUCCUUGGCCCUAAUACGGUCGGGGGAUGACGGUACCGGAAGAAUAAGCACCGGCUAACUACGUG
rnacentral:rRNA from 1 species